CACUUGCAUUAAGAGAGGCAUAGGUGGUUUACACUGAAUGCCCGGCAACCUGACAACCAAGGUGCCAAGCUUGUUCCUGCGUAAGCGGAAUGGCAAUGCGCCCCGAAAGGGGAACGUUGAAGAUGAUU
rnacentral:ncRNA from 2 species